UACGUAGGCAGCAAGCGUUGUUCGGAGUUACUGGGCGUAAAGAGUGCGUAGGCGGUCCUGUAAGUUUGGCGUGAAAUCUCCCGGCUCAACUGGGAGGGUGCGCCGAAGACUGCAGGGCUUGAGUAUGGGAGAGGUAAGCGGAAUUCCUGGUGUAGCGGUGAAAUGCGUAGAUAUCAGGAGGAACACCUGUGGUGUAGACAGCUUACUGGACCAUAACUGACGCUGAGGCACGAAAGCGUGGGUAGCAAACAGG
rnacentral:rRNA from 1 species